ensembl:lncRNA
GUUUUAGUAACUAUAGGUAACACUUUACGACGAGGGUGCACGAAGGGGUGUUUUUUAAGAAUGGCUCUAUAUUAAGAGGACAUGAAUAUUGCUUCACUGUGUAUGCAUGUAGGGUACGUAAAUGGUCUUUUCCGCAUGCUAAUAACACAUGUUUACUUCAUGGAAACAAUACAUGUUUAUCCCGAAUCUCAGUGUUGCAAAGUUUACUUCAAGCUGUGUCUGCUUAUUCAAAGCUAUUAGUAUUCCAAGCACAUAGUUUGCCAAGAUUCUUAAUUGAUAGAAUCACAUACUGGUAACUUGGGAAGUAGGAAGAAUCAGUGGCGAUUUUAGCAUGUAAAUCUUGGUGUGGCAAACUCCCCCAAAAAUAUUUUGAUGCAUGCCAGCAUAGCCACUAAAGAGCACAACACAACACUAAGCAAUAUAUUAUUUGCACUGUAACGGUGACAAACGGUGCCCACAAACUGUUUGGGCUUGUAUAAAUUAUGUUUAGCACCAUGGAGUGAAUCUGUACCACUGCUACACCUGGCUACCAGCGGAGCCUUUUCUGGCCUGCAUAAUUCAGCCUCAUUAACUGCCUUUAAAAAAAACAAGUCAGCUGAUAUGCCUUACUUGCUUAAACAAGUGUGGUUUCUACUGACAAUUGAGAUGUACAAACUAUGUCAUAAGGGGACGACGAACGGAUAAGAGUCAAUCCGUAAUUUUGAUUAAGACAUCAAUGAGUGAGCUAGGACGGACGUAGUCAAUAUAACUAUUUGUUCAGCAAUUCAGAACAUGUGCCGUUCUUACAGUAUUUGCCAUGUACCCAAAGUCUGAACCGUCGGAUAAAUAAAGGGGGCUUAUAAGCAGACAAUGAAAGCUCUUACAAUAUUCAAUGAUUACAUUUCUCUUAAACAGGUGUCAUGACGUUGGCCUGUUGGGGGAGGUUUAUGACCCCCAUAAAUACCUUUCCCUUUUUCUCACUCUCUAUUCUAGAGAGGGACUCUGGAAAGCCUUUGGUAACAUCAAAAGAUGGGAAACGGAACCAUAUUUUGGACGUGAGGACUUGCAGUCCCUGCGUUAAAAGGACAAGAUCACCAACAGAACUAAAGCCAACCUAACUAAAGCAGCUGUAAACGUGGGCUUGUAGAGGACGGAGAGUAUCCAUUCUACCACGCUCCAGAUCACCACUAGACAUUCUUCAGAGGACAAGAAAUCCAUGCUGGACAACCCAGCCUUCUAUCUACGACCAAUCUAUCGAAGGGCAGUUCAGAGUAAAUACUGUAUUUAUUGCAUUUUCCUUUUUCAAAUGGGUGGUUAUUUAGAAUGCAUAAGAUACUGUAUUUACGAUAGCAUUGUUUCUUCCUUUGUUACUUUUUCUUCCCGCUCUUUUUCUCUCAAACCCAACCCCCUUUCUUUGUGUAACCAGCCGUCAUAUCUGUUCCAUCCGCUAAGGACAUUUUCCUUUAUGAUAAU